UACGGGGGGUGCGAGCGUUGUUCGGAUUUACUGGGCGUAAAGGGCGCGCAGGCGGCUCAUUUUGUCAGGCGUGAAAGCCCCGGGCUUAACCUGGGAACUGCGUUUGAUACGGAUGGGCUAGAGUUCGGGAGAGGAGAGUGGAAUUCCCAGUGUAGAGGUGGAAUUCGUAGAUAUUAGGAAGAACACCAGUGGCGAAGGCGGCUCACUGGUCCGGUACUGACGCUGAGGUGCGAAAGCGUGGGGAGCAAACAGG
rnacentral:rRNA from 1 species